GGCGCCUGGAAUUGGGGCAACUGGGGCGGUUGGAACCAGAACGCAAACGCGGCCAACAACACAGGAGGCGCGGCGGCCGCCGGCGGCAAACAGGCGCAGUGGGCCGGCUACACGCCGCAGCAGUGGUACCAGUGGCAGCAGUGGCAGCAGCAGCAGGGCUGGCAGGGGUACCAGCAGCAGCAGCAAGGCAACCAGCCCACCACCGCCAACGCCGCCGAGCAGGCGUGGGCGCAGUACUAUCAGAAUUACGGCGGCGGCAAUGCAAACGCGGCUAACUCAUCUUCUGAUAAAAAGUGACGGUUGCGUAAACACAAAAACGAUUAAUCGAAUACGAGGACUCUAUUUUAUAACUGCCCGCGAUAUCAUGAACAUUUGGACUGCAAAACGUGAAAUAUAAAACCGUUAUUUGAUUGAUACAGUAAGACCGUUUCAAAAAAGCUGGCUACAUAACUUGUCUUGAUAUAAUCAAUAUUAUGACAUUCGGGGAGUAAAUCUCUCAUACAAACUAGAAAUAAUAAAUAAGAUACAGUAUUUAGAGAGAGAAAUGUUUAUCACCCCAAGUAUUAGUGGUAAAUAUAGAAUACCUAUGUUACUUUGCCGCCAGCUCUUUUGAAACACUUAUUUAAAUCAAACCAUUAGAUCUAAGUUUUAACCACAAGCAACGAGGUAUAGGUUGCUUGAUCGUCAAGAUCAUAAAUUCUAAACUAAAGUUAGGUUGCGGUGAUAGUUGUAUUUGUAAGAUUUUUAACAUUUUCUCAUAGAAUUUUUGGUUGUUACUGCAAUAUAAAUAUCUAUUUCUAAAAUAGAUUCCAAAGAAACGAUGGGUUUACCAUUUGUUAUAAUCUAUAUACUAGUAUAUCUUCAUACUAGUGAGAUUAAUCGAAUGUGUGACAUUAAAUUCCAAAAGAUGGAAUAUAAGACAAAUUCCAUGUUAUUUGCUCACGAGUGUGAGGUUUUUUUUUGUUAUACAAAGUCCUUACAGACAUAACUUUUUUGGGCGACCGUGUGUGCAUUUUCUGUACUACAUACGAAUGAUUUUGACAAAAAAAACGAGAAUUGUUUUAAUUUUACAUACAUUUUUUGUUGCUUUGUGUGUAGUAUAUUACAGGGAAUUGACAAGUUAGCACGCGUGUGCUGCUUUUGUGUGAUCACCGAGUUAUGCCUGUAUGCGUAGGGUAAGGCCACGUAAGGCGAAGGAUGCAAGCCGCACGGCAUUCGCCGAGUGCACACAAGUCCUGGGGCAAAGCUCCUUACACACUAUUGAUAGGGUAUUUCCUCCUGUAUAAAUAAUAAUGAAAUGUCCUUUAUGUUUAGAGUAAGGUAUAGCAUUUCUUGCAAGUUCCUUAUAUUUUCGUAUAAAAUGUCCAACGUAAUUGCCUGUGUGUACGUAGCUUUGCCUCUAUUGGGCGUUUGUAAUAGAUGACAGUGGGGGGAGUGUAAUUGUACAAACGAACUCGUGUAGUCUUAAGAACCGUGGGUCUAUUAGUGUACGUCACUGAUGCUAAUGAUUUAAUUAUAAUAAAUAUCAUGUAAGAA